UUCUCUGAAGAUAUCCAAAGUUCUGAUGGAACAUGGUGAUCUCUCCAACCAACUAUGAAGAUCUGAUGUCCCUUUAUUGCACUUGUUCACCUCUGUUCUAUCUUCUGGAGCUCAGAAAAAUGAGCUUUAUGACCACCUGUGCCUUUUCACAAUCAGGCAGAAUCAGGAGGCCUGCAGGGUUGGGGGGCUGUGUGAUUAUUUCAGAGGUGCUCCAGUCCUCACUUGUUGACUUGAGGCAGGCCAGAGCAAGGAGACGGGAUCCCUGCAUGGCAGCUGUCCUGGACCUCCACUUUCCACCUUCGGCUGGAUGCAGGCCAGGGAGAAGGCGGGCUAUUGUGCCUUUCAAGAUUGAAUAUAACCUUUGGCACUCAGAACCUGUGAACUAGAGUUUCUCGCUGAGUAUCAGUGGAAUCUUAUCUCCAGCAUGAUCUUCUCGUUAUGGUCUACUCAGUCACCGCAGAAUCUGCUGUUUUCGCUUGUUGGCUGCCGAGACUCCGGCUGUGGCUCCAGCC
rnacentral:lncRNA from 1 species